AGACUUCCAAACCGGCCGAACCAGAUCUGAGUGUCUGUUGGACAAUGAUCUCAAUUUUUAAAGAACAGACCAUUAGGCACAAUCAGAAACUGACUUAGAUUUCUAUUUAUCUUACACUAAAAAAAGGCAAAAACAAAAACAAACCAAGCUUAAGCAAAUAAAAUGGAGUAUUUACAGCAGGCUGUGCUCUGCAGGAGAAUCAAGAAAGUCUAGGCCACCUAACUCCGCUGCAAAGCAUUCCUAGAAACACAUGUAAAAAUAGAUCUUCAUACAGCAGACUGUACCUUCUUGUAGGAAUGAGAUUGUAAUUUGGGGUUGGCUUCCUGAUCCAGGGUAUGACCAACAAUACAUUAUAAGGCAAAACUUCACAUAUGAAUUUCUACAAUUUUUAAAAUUAUAAAAGUGUGCUUCAAGUCCCUAUAAAAUGCACUUUACAUACUGAUUAUAUAAAAGCGAACAGGGCAUGGUGGCUCAUGCCUAUAACCCCAGCACUUUGGGAGGCUGAGGCGGAAGGAUCACUUGAGGCCAGGAGUUUAAGACCACCCUGAGCAAUACUGUAAGACCCCAUCUCUAUAAAAAAAAUCUAAAAGGUUAAGAUAGGCAUGGUGUUGUGCACCUGUAGUCCCAGCUACUCAAGAGGCUGAGUUGGGAGGACUAUUUGAGCCCAUGAGUUCAAGGUUACAGUGAACAAUGAUCAUGCUACUGUCCUUCAGCCUGAGCAACGGAGAGAGGCCCCCAUCUCAAAAAAUGAUAAUAGGCCAGGUGGAGUGGCUCAUGCUUAUAAUCCCAGCACUUUGGGAGGCUGAGGCGGGCAGAUCACAAGGUCAGGAGUUCGAGACCAGACUGGCCAACAUGGUGAAACCCUGUCUCUACUAAAAAUACAAAAAUUAUCCGGGCCUGGUGGCGCGUGCCUGUAAUCCCAGCUACUGGAGAGGCUGAAGCAGGAGAAUAGCUUGAACUCAGAAGGCGGGGGUUGCAGUGAGCAGAGACCACGCCACUGUACUCCAGCCUAGGCGACAGAGCAAGACUCCGUCUCAAAAAAUAAUAAUAAUGAUAAAUAAACAAAACAAUAAUAAAAAUGUUAAAAGCCAAAUAAGCUCUAAACUGUCAACAGAGUACAUAAAAAUAUAGAUCUGUGAUUUCAACUUUGUUUUAUUUUACAAAAUGUGCUGCUACAACAUAGAUAACACAACUGCCUGUAUUUAUUAAGCACUUACUAAGUGUCCCCACAAACUAAGAGCUUUAUCUGCAUCAUCUUAUUUGAUCUUCUCAAUGAAUCUAUGGGGAAACUGAGGCUUAAAAUGGCAACAUCACUCAUCCAAGUACAAUUAUUUAAAUAAGUGACUGAAUUGCAAUUUAAACCCAAGGCAUCUAAUUCUAGAGCUAGUGAAACAAAGCUCUGAAUUAGGGUGAAACAAAGUGAAUUUCAAGCAUGUCAUAAAUCUAUGGAGUUUGAGAGCCUAAAGAGGCAUCAGAUAACAUUUAGCUCAGUUCCUUUAUGUUAUAGAUAAUGAUCAUAAUUUCAAGAGAAGUGAAAUUACUUAUAAGUGUUUCUUAGUGACAAAGCCAAGGCCAGAAUUCUAUUGAUUUCCAAAUUAAUUUUUUUUCCACUUUAUCCAGUUGACUCAAGACAGUCUCUUCUCACUUUAGUCCAGCAAUUUUAAGAUGUGUACAAUUUCCAUAUACAGAAUGACUAUUCAAGUUCCCUGAAGGAAUACUGCAGUCCCAAUUGGUUACCUAAUUAAUCUAUUACUUCAAAACUUUGUGGUUUAAAACAACGAACAUUUACUGUCUCAGAGUUUUUGUGGGCAGGAAUUCAGGAUGGGCCUUGCUGGGUUGUCCUAGCUCAGGGUUGCUCAUUCACUUUCAGUCAGGCUCUUCAUGGGUCAGGACUGCAGGCAGCUGACUGGGCUUCCUCACUUGCCUGUUGGCAGGAAGCCUUAGCUCUCGCCACGUGGGCCUUUCCAUUGGCUGUUUGAGUGGCAUGGCACCUAGCAGACAUUUUCUUCUUUUUCUUUUUUUUUUUUCCUCCGAGUCUUAGUUUGGUUUGGUGGUCCUCCUCACUCCUGUGUAACUCUUAAAAAGAGGCACAUAGGAGGAGAUGGCAUCUUCCAUCUGGGAUCUUUUUGUGUCUCGAUGGGACAUCUGGAACUGCUGCAGCCAUCGUGCAACCAUCAGGAGAGCCAACCUUCAUAAGUUUUACCUUUAGGAGCUCCACCAGGUUCUCAUCGUGAGUGUAGGAAGAAAAUCUCUUCAUGCUUCUGACACAGGGAGGGAGAAAGUAGCCAUUUUUAAAUAUGUCCAGAACAUUCUGUUCUUUUUAACAAGGCCUGCCUUCAAGGCAAAUUAUUUUACCAGAGUCUAACCAAUCUAGAGGAAGGGAAACACCUGAAUUUAGCUUCUACUAGCCUCGGAUUUCACUGGGAGAGGGAGGGCAACUGAGAAGCAUAUGUGAAGAUGACAGCCCA
rnacentral:lncRNA from 1 species